AUUGCGGACAUUUGAGAAGGUGACAAGUGCAGAUGUGUUUUACGUGCUGGAGGGUAACAACUAUCCUAACUCAAGGAUAUUUUCGUCCCUUGUGAAGAAACUCUGACCAUAAGCAGAAUCUAUUAGUUAUGUUGAGGAGAAGUAUCUUUUUCCAGCUUUCUGUAUUUUGUCUUGGAGGAGAAGUUGGGAAAUGUCAACCAUUUUCGACGAAAACGGCCGAACCCAUGGAUUUUUAAU
rnacentral:lncRNA from 1 species